AUAUAUAUAUCAACCUUCACUUGUUGAAUGGUUUGGAUGUGGGGGUUUUGCUGGCCUCUUAAAUGAUUCAGCUCCCCUGAAAUGUAUUAGCAGAACAAACCUGUUCAUUGGCGUGAUAACUAUCUACGCUGCUGAAUGUGAGGGGCAGUUCAGCUUUCCAACCGUCCUUGGACAAUUCAUCAUUA
rnacentral:misc_RNA from 1 species